GUCUGAAUAUGGGGGGCCCAUCCUCCAAGGCUAAAUACUCCUGACUGACCGAUAGUGAACCAGUACCGUGAGGGAAAGGCGAAAAGAACCCCGGCGAGGGGAGUGAAAAAGAACCUGAAACCGUGUACGUACAAGCAGUGGGAGCACGCUUAGGCGUGUGACUGCGUACCUUUUGUAUAAUGGGUCAGCGACUUAUAUUCUGUAGCAAGGUUAACCGAAUAGGGGAGCCGAAGGGAAACCGAGUCUUAACUGGGCGUUAAGUUGCAGGGUAUAGACCCGAAACCCGGUGAUCUAGCCAUGGGCAGGUUGAAGGUUGGGUAACACUAACUGGAGGACCGAACCGACUAAUGUUGAAAAAUUAGCGGAUGACUUGUGGCUGGGGGUGAAAGGCCAAUCAAACCGGGAGAUAGCUGGUUCUCCCCGAAAGCUAUUUAGGUAGCGCCUCGUGAAUUCAUCUCCGGGGGUAGAGCACUGUUUCGGCAAGGGGGUCAUCCCGACUUACCAACCCGAUGCAAACUGCGAAUACCGGAGAAUGUUAUCACGGGAGACACACGGCGGGUGCUAACGUCCGUCGUGAAGAGGGAAACAACCCAGACCGCCAGCUAAGGUCCCAAAGUCAUGGUUAAGUGGGAAACGAUGUGGGAAGGCCCAGACAGCCAGGAUGUUGGCUUAGAAGCAGCCAUCAUUUAAAGAAAGCGUAAUAGCUCACUGGUCGAGUCGGCCUGCGCGGAAGAUGUAACGGGGCUAAACCAU
rnacentral:rRNA from 1 species